GGCAACUCACUGAGAGAGGGACUGAGUGCGACGGCGACACACGGGUGGCUGGAAGCUACUGGCGACGCGACUGGGUCCUCUGGGCAGUUGCGCGACACAAGAAAGAGAGUUAGUUUAGAGAGUUUAAAGAGAGAACUUAUCAAACCGAAAAAACACUAGGGAGAGAAAAUGGUGGUUGACGGCGAUGGGCUUACCGGAAGGGAAUGGAUGCGAAGGGGCUAGGUUGGCCGGCGUUUUCUGUGGUGGUGUGGGAGGUGGUCCGUCGAGGUGACUGUUGGUUGCCGAGAGGGGCUACGGUGGUGCUUGCGGGAGUGAGUUUUUCUUUCUUUGCGUGAACGAGUUUUCUCCAAGAAUUUUCGUGUGUAUAAUUCAGAGGCUUUGUGGGUUUCUUAUAGGCGAUGGGAGGGAACAACGUGAACCUUCAGGAGAUUGGCUGAAAUUUGAAGUUGCCCUUUAGGACCUAUUCCUACGAGAAGUCAGAUUCUGGGAGGAUUUUGAAGAGUUUGAGUUGGAGUUAGUCUUGAACUAGGAACCAAAUCUAAUAUGGGAAUCUAAUGGAUAAACCAUACGGAGGGUCAUGGGCAUUGGGUCAACUCUCUUGCAUUGAGCACUGAAUAUGUUCUUCGCACUGGGGCUUUUGACCAUACUGGCAAGCACUAUUCAUCACCAGAGGAAAUGAAAAAGGUUGCUUUGGAAAGGUAUAACAAAAUCAAAGGCAAUGGCCCUGAAAGAUUGGUUUCUGGAUCGGAUGAUUUUACCAUGUUUCUUUGGGAACCUUCUGUCAGCAAGCAUCCCAAAACUCGCAUGACAGGUCAUCAACAGCUGGUCUGCAGACAGUAGGCUUCUUUUGAUUGGUAGCUAGGAUUAUACACUCAAGAUGUCUUCAAGAGGGUGAGCAUAAGUUAGGUCUUGCAACAAAGUGAUGUACCUUUUGAGGCGUAGCGAUGGAGGUGGAAGAAGAGAAAGAGAAUCGACUACCAACAAAGUGAUGUGCCUUUUGACAGAUCCAUAUGGAACGCGUCUGGGAGCUACCAUGUACCUUCCCCAAAAUGCUGGGCACCAACAGCUCCAGCAAAUGGUCAACAAGCUUCUCAACAAUGUAAGCUUUAGGAUUUUGACUUUUUUCUUUUGUUGUUGAUCGUAGUGUUUUUUUUUUUUUUGCUGUUAGACUAACAGACAUUAUCAAAUAUUAGUCCACUUUCUAUGUCUAUUUUAUGAAAUUGACCCUAUUAUUUUCUUGUGAGCA